UCAUCCGCCCGCCCGGUAAGCGCGAGGCGGCGGCCCUUGAAGGAGAAAGUCUGCUCGCGCUGGAGCGGGAAGGGGCUCUGGGAAUGCGCAGGUGUUCCCCAAAGCCUGCUACCAUCCCCGAAGACGCGCUCGUCUUCUCAGAACUGUAGCCAGCGCUGGGAAAGACGCGAGGAGACAAAGUGAGUCAGGCUGUGGUGGAACCCGCCAAGGCUCAGAAACAAGAAUGAGGCAAAGAAACACACUAAUCACCCCUCUACCCCACGCCAUCGCGCCCACGAAAUGAGAUAUCCUUUGAAGCGUGGAGACUGCAGAGUUGUACUCAGACCAAAUCUUAAUACCUACGAUUCGUCUGGUGCUGAGUUAUCUCACUGUGUUCAAAGCAGAACAGCAACCUAAAAAAACUCAUCUUUUUCUACACCAAAUGCCCCCUCCCACGUUCUAAUUUUUGCCACAGGCGCCAUCUUUAGCUCUGAGUCACCAGGGAUGGAAAAAUACUAGACAAGUCCUCCUCGUCUCGAAUUUUCUGCAGUUGUUGUCACACACUAAAACCUGUUGCUUCGUUUGUACGUUCUGGACACUGGGAAGUCCAAGAUCAAGGUGGUGGCAGAUUUAAUGUCUGGACUUACAACUGACAGAAGACCAGAGAAGGUAUGGUAGUACCAGG